AUUGAACGCUGGCGGCAUGCCUAACACAUGCAAGUCGAACGGCAGCACGAGGAGCUUGCUCCUUGGUGGCGAGUGGCGGACGGGUGAGUAACGCGUAGGAAUCUACCUUUUAGCGGGGGACAACCCGGGGAAACUCGGGCUAAUACCGCAUAAUCUCUACGGAGCAAAGUAGGGGACCCUUCGGGGCCUUACACUAAAAGAUGAGCCUGCGUCGGAUUAGCUAGUUGGUGGGGUAAAGGCCUACCAAGGCGACGAUCCGUAGCUGGUCUGCGGGGACGAGCAGCCACAAUGGGACUGAGACACGGCACAGACUCCUACGGGAGGCAGCAGUGGGGAAUAUUGGGCAAUGGGCGAAAGCCUGAUCCAGCAAUGCCGCGUGUGUGAAGAAGGCCUCCGGGUUGUAAAGCACUUUCAGUGGGGAAGAAAAAGUCGAAGAUAAUAUCUUCGAAAAUUGACGUUACCCACAGAAGAAGCACUGGCUAACUCUGUGCCAGCAGCCGCAGUAA
rnacentral:rRNA from 1 species